UAUAGUUAUGAUUUUGUUCCAAAAAAAAAACAUAAAAUGUGUAAUAAAUAGUUUUUACUUAUUGUAAAGUUGCAUGUAAGGCAGAUUGUGUGUAUGUGUAUAUGUGUGUUUAUUUUUUAAGGAAAGACACAAAGUUGCGUUUUGUAUCCGUGUGCAAAGCAGCACAAAAACACACCCGAAGGACGAGAAAGGGUAAGGAAGUAGAAGUAGAAGAAGAAGAAGAAGAAGAAGAAGAAGUAGUAGUAGUAGUCCUGGACUGUGAUCGGACCUUUGAUCGGAGUUUCUGCGUCCUAACCUACUUGAUACAAUGUUACUAUUCGUGUAUCGACCGAAUUUCUGCCUUUGGCUCCACCGGAAAGACGUCCAGCUGCAUCGGAUACAAUGUUAUUUUUUUUCUUCCUUUAUCAGACUCCUUGUUGUUGUUGCUCGACUGCACACCGCCCAAAAUAAACAUCCAGGAUGUGAUUUCAUGCUUCUCCAAUCCGAGCAGGGACGGACUGAGCAAUGAGUCUGCGUUGUGUGUUUGUUGGUGCCAUUUGCUGGAACGUCGGUGUGAGAUAAAGCAUUAAUACAGGUUUAAAUCCUGGAUGAAUUACUUCUGCUGUAGUGAGUGGAUCAGACCUGCUCCUGCUCUGAAAUCUUCACACCAGAAAGUGUUUCAGAAACGUGAAGAACGGAGCACCAAGAUCACGUGAUCAGAUGGACUCGCUUUGCCCGAGGCGAGUCUGUAAGGGGGAACACACACGCACACACACACACACACACACACACACACACACACACACACACACGCGCACACACACGCACGCGCAACAAGGGCCAAGUUCAUGGCCUUCAAGACUACAAUGCCUUUGAUUAACCUGCCAGACCCCCUCAUGUCAGACUGUCUCACACACACACACACACACACACACACACACACACACACACACACACACACACACACACACCUAGAAAAAUAUUGCCUGAAUGCAUUUCCAAUUUAGGAUAUUCUUAUAUGCAUACUGAAUUAUUAUUUAUAAACAAAUUAUUUAAACAGAAAACUACCUUAAAAAAAAAAAAAAAAAACUUCAUAAAUUUCGUUUUUAGAUCAUGAAGAAAAAUCUAAGAUUGUAUAAUUAUAAAAUAAAAUAAAAUAAAAUAAAAUAAACAAAGAUAGAAUUUAUAGCUGUGUGCCAAAGAUAAAUCUUGGUUAGUUAACGGCGUGUAGUGACAAAUACCGCCAUCUGCUGGUUAAAGUCAGUCAAUGCAGGAGAAAUGCAGUUAAAUAUAAUAAUAAUAAUAAUAAUAAUAAUAAUAAUAAUAAUAAUAAUAAUAAUAAUAAUAAAAAAAGUAGAAUAUAAUCCUGUGGUUUCAAUAAGGAUUUGUACACCCACACACACACACACACACACACACACACAUCCUGGUGAGUCGUAAACUGUGUCCACAGUUGUUCAUGUAACUGAUAAAAAUGUUAUGCUUCUUCAGGUUAUAGGUUUCUUUAGGUUAUAUAAACACCAUUGUUUUUAAAAAUAAGAUUAUUUAAGUAUACUAGCAGAAUGGUAGUAGAUCUAAAUGGGUAACUGGAAACUAAAUGUUUUUUUUUUAACCAAUCACGUUACUCUUUUGUCUUACAGAGUUGAACCUAUACUGAGGGCUGAAUGUGUUAAAUGUAGGGUGGCAAUAAUUAUGGAGCUGACUCUAUACUAUAUAUUCAAUGUAAUUUAUGUUUAUUUGUGAAGCGCUUCCAACAAUAUACAUUGUCUCGAAGCACU